rnacentral:rRNA from 1 species
AGUGAACGCUGGCGGUAGGCCUAACACAUGCAAGUCGAACGGCAGCACAGGAGAGCUUGCUCUCAGGGUGGCGAGUGGCGGACGGGUGAGGAAUACAUCGGAAUCUACUUUUUCGUGGGGGAUAACGUAGGGAAACUUACGCUAAUACCGCAUACGACCUACGGGUGAAAGCAGGGGACCUUCGGGCCUUGCGCGAUUGAAUGAGCCGAUGUCGGAUUAGCUAGUUGGCGGGGUAAAGGCCCACCAAGGCGACGAUCCGUAGCUGGUCUGAGAGGAUGAUAGGCCACACUGGAACUGAGACACGGUCCAGACUCCGACGGGAGGCAGCAGUGGGGAAUAUUGGACAAUGGGCGCAAGCCUGAUUCAGCCAUACCGCGUGGGUGGAGAAGGCCUUCGGGUUGUAAAGCCCUUUUGUUGGGAAAGGAAUCCAGCUGGCUAAUACCCGGUUGGGAUGACGGUACCCAAAGAAUAAGCACCGGCUAACUUCGUGCCAGCAGCCGCGGUAA